rnacentral:rRNA from 1 species
AAUAUUGGACAAUGGGCGAAAGCCUGAUCCAGCCAUGCCGCGUGUGUGAAGAAGGUCAUCGGAUUGUAAAGCACUUUAAGUUGGGAGAAAGGGCCGUAAGUUAAUACCUUGCUGUCUUGUCGUUACCGACAGAAUAAGCACAGGCUAACUUCGUACCAGCAGCCGCAGUAAUACGAAGGGUGCAAGAGUUAAUCGGAAUUACUGUGCGUAAAGCGCGCGUAGGUGGUUCGUUAAGUUGGAAGUGAAAGCCCCGGGCUUAACCUGGGAAUUGCUUUCAAAACUGACGAGAUAGAGUACGGUAGAGGGUAGUGGAAUUUCCUGUGUAGCGGUGAAAUGCGUAGAUAUAGGAAGGAACAUCAGUGGCGAAGGCGACUACCUGGACUGAUACUGACACUGAGGUGCGAAAGCGUGGGGAGCAAACAGG